GAGUUUGAUCAUGGCUCAGAGUGAACGCUGGCGGCAGGCCUAACACAUGCAAGUCGAACGGCAGCACAGAGGAGCUUGCUCCUUGGGUGGCGAGUGGCGGACGGGUGAGGAAUGCAUCGGAAUCUGCCUAUUUGUGGGGGAUAACGUAGGGAAACUUACGCUAAUACCGCAUACGUCCUACGGGAGAAAGUGGGGGACCUUCGGGCCUCACGCAGAUAGAUGAGCCGAUGCCGGAUUAGCUAGUUGGCGGGGUAAAGGCCCACCAAGGCGACGAUCCGUAGCUGGUCUGAGAGGAUGAUCAGCCACACUGGAACUGAGACACGGUCCAGACUCCUACGGGAGGCAGCAGUGGGGAAUAUUGGACAAUGGGCGCAAGCCUGAUCCAGCCAUGCCGCGUGAGUGAAGAAGGCCUUCGGUUGUAA
rnacentral:rRNA from 1 species